CACCGAAGUUAAGCAUCGUAGAGCCAGGUCAGUACUUAGAUGGGAGACCGCUUGGGAACACCUGGUACUGUAAGC